AACAAGACUAAGCCACAGGAAAAGUUUUCAUCUUUUUGGCUGUUUGAACUCUGAAGGGCCAGAGCUUCACAGGAGCUGCCUCCUCAGGCUGCCCUGAGAGCACUUUGAAUGGACAGGUCACUACAACUCUGUCACUCUUAGGAUUUAGAUGACCAGCAGAAACAAGAAGCAAGGAGCAGAGCAGCUGGACAUCCCAAUAAGCUCUUAGAAAGCUGGAGGCUUCCUGUUUUCUCAUGGUGAUUUUGAAGGGAGGAGGUCGCAGGCUUCAGAAUCCAGUUGGGGAACAAGAGGAUUGUGUGGUGGAAGAAAGUAUCACUAGACUUGUGUGUGGAAGAGGGCAGCUGAGUGAAUGUCCACAUACAAAUCACAAUUGUCAUAAAGCUGUGACACUUUGGAGUUGUUGGGGAAAUAUCUCUAUGGAGAGACCUGACACAAGGAGUUAAUGUGGUGGUUCCUGCAAAAAAAACAUCCGGACAACAACAGGACUUAUUUUUUUUGCUUUAAUUGGUCCUCUACAAUAGGGAAUUCUGGGAAAUAUUCUUCCUUUGUAGAAUGUGAUUGACUCAUCUUUGCAUGGCCCUGUCUUGAUUGUUGAAUAGGGAGAAGUUAUCUCAAUAGGCCCUGAACUACAUUUUAUAAGUGUUUAUUUUAUUGUUUUUCUGUUGCUCGAGUAGUGAUUCUGUUUAUGCUCUUUUCUUCUACAGUAAUAAAAAAAGACUGAUAUUUACACUUG